UACCGGCGGCUCGAGUGGUGGCCGAUAUUAUUGAGUCUAAAGGGUCCGUAGCCGGCUUGGCAAGUCUCUUGGGAAAUCCAGCGGCUUAACCGUUGGUCGUCCGGGAGAUACUACCUUGCUUGGGACUGGGAGAGGCGUGAGGUACUCAGGGGGUAGGAGUGAAAUCCUGUAAUCCUUUGGGGACCACCGGUGGCGAAGGCGUCACGCCAGAACAGGUCCGACGGUGAGGGACGAAAGCUAGGGGCACGAACCGG
rnacentral:rRNA from 1 species